CUUGAGUGCGCCGAGCCGGAGCGGGCGGCCGUGCGGGCGGUCCUGCCCGUAGGUGGCGAGCAGGGCGUCCGCCUC
rfam:Streptomyces scabiei 87.22 complete genome